UUAUAUACCCAGUGGCGGACGGGUGAGUAACGCGUGGGCAACCUGCCCCGUGCCGGGGGAUACCGCCUGGAAACAGGCGCUAAUACCGCAUAAGCGCAUACAGCCGCAUGGGUGUAUGCGGAAAGCUCCGGCGGCACGGGAUGGGCCCGCGCCCGAUUAGCCAGUUGGCGGGGUAACGGCCCACCAAAGCGACGAUCGGUAGCCGGCCUGAGAGGGCGGACGGCCACAUUGGGACUGAGACACGGCCCAAACUCCUACGGAAGGCAGCAG
rnacentral:rRNA from 1 species